rnacentral:tRNA from 1 species
GUCGGGAUAGCUCAGCGGAAGAGAGGA